rnacentral:misc_RNA from 1 species
AACGCACCUUGCGCCCCUUGGCCAUUCCGAGGGGCAUGCCUGUUUGAGUAUCAUGAACACCUCAACUCUCAUGGCUUGCCCGUGAUGAGCUUGGAAUUUGGGGGUUUUGCCGGCCUGUGGUUGGCUCCUCUCAAAUGAAUCAGCUUGCCAGUGUUUUGGUGGCGUCAUUGGUGUGAUAACUAUCUACGCUUGUGAUCGUCUGCCAAGUGACCUUCAGUGAAUGGAGGUUCGCUGGAGCUUACAGAUGUCUCUCCUCAGCGAAGACAGCUUUUCGAAUGUUCGAUCUCAAAUCAGGUAGGACUACCCGCUGAACUUAA